UCUGUCUCAUUUUCCUCUGAUCACUGAAGUACGGCAACUCAGGAGGACCUCUCAUCAACUUGGAUGGGGAGGUGAUCGGCAUCAACACUCUGAAAGUGACAGCAGGAAUCUCCUUCGCUAUCCCCUCAGACAGGAUCAGCCGCUUCCUCACAGAGUCACAGACCAAACACAGCAAAGUAAACCCUCCUCCACUUGUGACAGAAAAGACGAGACUGCAGAGACGACUCACGGAGGAGCCACAGUCUGAUGCGGAAGUAAAGAGACGUUUCUUAGGCAUCAGGAUGCUCACAAUCACCACAGAUCUAGUAGCAGAGUUAAAGCAUAAUUAUCCAGACUUUCCUGACAUCCACAGUGGAGUGUUUGUGCAGCAGGUCAUACCGAACACUGCAGCAGAAAAG